GCUCCCUAGGCUUACAAAUUACCAUACGAAUGAGGUUGUUUUUUCUGUAUUUUCUUUCAGUAUAUGCACUGGUUUAAAACAAUUUUGUAAUAACAAAAGGGUAAAAUGUGCUUUCGCUUAUAGCACAACUCUUUGAGCUGGCCCACCAUGACAUUUACCGCCCCGACCCCCAUGUCCUAACAGUGGUACCCACUCAUAGAAUACCUUCUCUCCACAUCCCAAGGAGUUUUAUACUGUGACUCAGAGGCACCACAAGUGAAUCUCUCUCUCACGGUUUUUUAAAAAAAGAGACUAGAGUUAUUUAAAGAGUCAUGCUUAUAUGUGGCAUCUCUAUAUUUGACAAGACUCAAGAAUGAUGCAUGCCAGAGACCACUGGUUAGACUGUAGCCUUGUCACGUAUUUUAAGGACACCAUGCUGGUGUCCUGAUCACAUUUCCUUUAGAUGCCAACAUACUGUGACUAUUGAAGAGGUUAAAAUGUAGCCCUAGCACCAACUUGCUAUUGGGAAAAACAAAAUGUUUUUACUUGUGUUCCAGGACAAGGCCCAGAUGGUGUGCCACUAUUUAUGAUAAGUCUACAGUUUCCGGGGUAAAAUAUAAACUAUUUCUUUCAUGUCAUAAAGAAAGCCAAUCUUAAUAAAAUACAAGCCAAGUUGAUUAUUAGAUAAGAUAGGGAGACUUCUGAAAACACCCUAUUUCUUCAUAUUACAAGUAAAGGGGAAUUGCCUCUGUAAAGACAACAACAGGAGAAGACAUGACUGUAGACACCUGCCUCCUAUCAGUACAGGGUAAAUCUUCAGGUAAAAUAAGACAAAAUGCAUUUAAAUGCCCCUGUCAAGAGCAGUUCUUCAUUGGCACUUUCCUGGGCUUGAGGUUCAACUGAAUGCCCACUUGAGAAGUCCUGGCCACAGUAUUGGGCAAGAGUGUAUUUUCUAAACAGCUAAUAACCCAGGGCCUUUCGAUGUUUUGGAAUAUACAGAACGGAGACUCUGGUUGCUGGAUUCCGACUAGUAACUUCCCUUACCCUGUACUUACAGUCUCGUACAGCACCUCACUGUGAUGCCACACCUGUCUAACUCCUUGUAGACAGGAAUGGAAGAUGAAAAGCAAGGCACUGUGAUUCAAAGGAAAACGAGAGAAACGUAAAAGCGUCUUCCUGAAGGCCCCGUGCGUACAGUCAGAAUAGGCUCUCUAUUUCUGUUCCCAUUUCUACACAUUCGGGACUCCUCCUUCACUCCUUCACCCUCUCAGUCUCAGUUUUAACGUUUCUUUUUAUUAGAAUUAGGCAACCUGCUCCAUUUCAAGAAGAUAUGAUGAUAAACACACUACUGAGUGUUGUUGAGUGUCCAGAGUGUGUUUCAUCGCUUUGCACAUCUUUGGCUACAGAGCUCAGUCCUACUUUGUGUUGUUCAAGUGUCUAAUCUUGGGAUUAGACUGGUGAGAUUAUCUUUCCUGAUUUUGCUAAGAGAUUUCUUCAGAACUCAUAACUUGUGAGGAGAGCCUGUAAAUUGGAACCUAAUUCUAGAAUAGCUUGUCCUUUUCCCACAUCAUCUGAAAGAACAUCACUGUGCACAUAACUCUUGGUUCCAGGUUAAAAGUAGUCUCUGAGCUAGUACAAGUAUUAAGACUUAGGUGACCGACUUCUUCUGGAUGGGUUUCAAUGCCACUCAACCUCUGAAAAGAAUCCCAUAACAGAUUUUUAUGUGUAGAAGGCUCACUGCAAGAAGCAUGUGAGUAAUUGGAACACAGUCCUCUUUAUUUCUACCCAUCGCAUCUACUCCACUGCCCACAACAGGGGAGAAUGCCUCCAUUUGUCUAGUUUCUGAAAGCCUGGUGGUUGCACAUUCUAAAUCUUGCUUACAAAUCAUUUUCUUAUUUACCAAGUCUGACACAUCUUCUGUUGGGGGUUCACUGGUCUGACUUAUUACCAGAUGUUUCUGAAGUGCACCUUGAAGCUGAUCCGGAACAGCUUUCUCUUCAGGCAAAUAAGACCAAUCAAAAUCUGGGCAAAAAAAUAGCCAGGCUAAAUUCCCUCUGAUUCUGCAGUAUCGAUGAAGACUCUGACGACACUUCUCAAGCUUUCACAUCCACUAGAGCCCCAUCUGAACUUCUGUUCUCUUCAGUUUCGACAGCUUUUCUCCAUGAGCUCCUGCUCUCAGUUAUCAAGGUUUCUGGAGUCUGGAGAAUUUGUUUCCUGGUUAAGAAGGGAUAGAAAUUAAAGUGUCAACUAGCUCCUCCAAUUCGACUUCUUUUCCCUCCUGAUUUUUUUUUCCUUUUUAGUCUCUAUGGCCCACAUCCCAGUACAGUUCAUGUUACUGUCCUGUUUGAGUCUCAGAAAUGAGUAAUUCUUCACACCAGUGUUUCAUUGCAUGGUUUGGUGUCACCUGCAAAGGGGAAUGUCACAUUGUACAAAACGUCUUAUGUAAGUGGUCCUUUAGGCUCUAGGAUAAAGCUGUAGUUUUAUUGAUCAUGUCUGUGGACCAGGCUGCAGACUUUGAGAGCCUGUGUGUGUGUGUGUGUGAGUGUGUGCUUAGAUGUUCCCUCAAUGUUAUCAGUUCAAUGCUUUUGUUUAAAAUAGUUUCUUCUGAAGGUGGGGGUGGGGAUGUACAUAACUGGGAACGUUUUAUGUACUUAAAUGUUCUUACUGGGUUCCUGUACUGAAGGGUCCAAUUUUUCUUUUUUAUAUAAGUUCACUUUUCACCUACUUUUUGUCUUCAUGGGGGGGGGGGAAAGUUGUGCAUCUUGGAAAACAUACUUUAAAUACUGUAUAUAAGACAAUGAAACUUAGUAAUACCCAUUAUUUAAUAAAGUUUGUAAAGUGG
rnacentral:lncRNA from 1 species